GACGAACGUUGGCGGCGUGCUUAACACAUGCAAGUCGAACGGAAAGGCCCUGCUUUUGUGGGGUGCUCGAGUGGCGAACGGGUGAGUAACACGUGAGUAACCUGCCCUUGACUUUGGGAUAACUUCAGGAAACUGGGGCUAAUACCGGAUAGGAGCUCCUGCUGCAUGGUGGGGGUUGGAAAGUUUCGGCGGUUGGGGAUGGACUCGCGGCUUAUCAGCUUGUUGGUGGGGUAGUGGCUUACCAAGGCUUUGACGGGUAGCCGGCCUGAGAGGGUGACCGGCCACAUUGGGACUGAGAUACGGCCCAGACUCCUACGGGAGGCAGCAGUGGGGAAUAUUGCACAAUGGGCGGAAGCCUGAUGCAGCAACGCCGCGUGCGGGAUGACGGCCUUCGGGUUGUAAACCGCUUUCGCCUGUGACGAAGCGUGAGUGACGGUAAUGGGUAAAGAAGCACCGGCUAACUACGUGCCAGCAGCCGCGGUGAUACGUAGGGUGCGAGCGUUGUCCGGAUUUAUUGGGCGUAAGGGGCUCGUAGGUGGUUGAUCGCGUCGGAAGUGUAAUCUUGGGGCUUAACCCUGAGCGUGCUUUCGAUACGGGUUGACUUGAGGAAGGUAGGGGAGAAUGGAAUUCCUGGUGGAGCGGUGGAAUGCGCAGAUAUCAGGAGGUACACCAGUGGCGAAGGCGGUUCUCUGGGCCUUUCCUGACGCUGAGGAGCGAAAGCGUGGGGAGCGAACAGGCUUAGAUACCCUGGUAGUCCACGCUGUAAACGGUGGGUACUAGGUGUGGGGUCCAUUCCACGGGUUCCGUGCCGUAGCUAACGCUUUAAGUACCCCGCCUGGGGAGUACGGCCGCAAGGCUAAAACUCAAAGGAAUUGACGGGGCCCCGCACAAGCGGCGGAGCAUGCGGAUUAAUUCGAUGCAACGCGUAGAACCUUACCUGGGUUUGACAUGGAUCGGGAGUGCUCAGAGAUGGGUGUGCCUCUUUUGGGGUCGGUUCACAGGUGGUGCAUGCCUGUCGUCAGCUCGUGUCGUGAGAUGUUGGGUUAAGUCCCGCAACGAGCGCAACCCUUGUUCACUGUUGCCAGCACGUUAUGGUGGGGACUCAGUGGAGACCGCCGGGGUCAACUCGGAGGAAGGUGGGGAUGACGUCAAGUCCUCAUGCCCCUUAUGUCCAGGGCUUCACGCAUGCUACAAUGGCUGGUACAGAGAGUGGCGAGCCUGUGAGGGUGAGCGAAUCUCGGAAAGCCGGUCUCAGUUCGGAUUGGGGUCUGCAACUCAACCUCAUGAAGUCGGAGUCGCUAGUAAUCGCAAAUCAGCAACGCUGCGGUGAAUACGUUCCCGGGGCC
rnacentral:rRNA from 1 species